rnacentral:rRNA from 1 species
AUACGUAGGGGGCGAGCGUUGUCCGGAAUGAUUGGGCGUAAAGGGCGCGUAGGCGGCCCGGUAAGUCUGGAGUGAAAGUCCUGUUUUUAAGAUGGGAAUUGCUUUGGAUACUGUCGGGCUUGAGUGCAGGAGAGGUAAGUGGAAUUCCCAGUGUAGCGGUGAAAUGCGUAGAGAUUGGGAGGAACACCAGUGGCGAAGGCGACUUACUGGACUUUAACUGACGCUGAGGCGCGAAAGUGUGGGGAGCAAACAGGAUUAGAUACCCUGGUAGUCCACACUGUAAACGAUGAAUGCUAGGUGUAGGGGGUAUCGACCCCUUCUGUGCCGCAGUCAACACAAUAAGCAUUCCGCCUGGGGAGUACGGCCGCAAGGUUGAAACUCAAAUGAAUUGACGGGG